UAUACCUUACAGCAUAAUGAGGUUUACGUGGGCAGUGGGGUAGCAUAUAAAGCGCCGUGAAUUAUUGCAGUUACUCAAACCAAAGUCUUGGUAAGGACAGCAGAUAGAAGAUACUCAAGACUUUAUUCACAAAAUACAAAGAUGUUCCUGAAAUUUGCUGCAGCGGUGUGUCUUAUAUAUCUUUGUGUCUUAACAGCCAAUGGAAAAUCUGCAGACAUGGACAAAAACGGAGCAAUGGUAUGGAUAUAUUAAAUUUCAAUUUCCUGUAAUAUUCCCUCUGAUGUCCGUCUAAAAUAGUGAAAUCUAUAUAUAUAGUGUACCGUAACUUCGACAUUUUUUCAUUAAAAGUAUUAUUAGAUGAGGUCCGGUUGUUUUUGAACUGGUUGUUUUAUAAUGUCAGUGAAUCGUAUAUUGCAACUAAAUCAAAUGAUGAUCGCUAGGAAAAACAUCUAUUUCUAUAUUGUACGUCUGUGAAUGACGAAUGCAUAUUAGCCAAAUAUGUAUAUAACGAAGAUUUUUGCGCAGCGUUUUCAGAGUGACAACGUAUUUGCGGACUUUCUAAUAGGUGUCGGGGGACAGGGGAUAUAUUUAAUUUCAGGUUUUAUAUACAUCGGAUUUAUCCCGACCUCAUUGGUUAAACCGGCGGUCCUGGCCGGUGUUCGCUAAGUUCAUGAAAACAUCCCUUCAAGCAACCUAAAAGGACAGAUCGAAUGUUGUGUUGGAUUUUUCAUGAAUGCGAAAUUAACGUAACACACGGUUUAACAAAAUAUGCUUUGAUGAAUUAUAACUAGUAAGACGUUCUUUGUAGGUUUGCAUGGCGAUAAAACAUAUAAUAGUUAUGUUCGUGGAAACACCACGUGAAUUUAUUAGUAAUUUAUUUAGUAAGAAUAAUGCCUAAUGUGCAUAAACCAAAAAUGAAAAUAAAUAUGCGCCAACACCGCGGUCCGGGGGGGACACUAUCCGCGGGGACACUAUCCGCUGUAACACUGGCGGUCUUGGGGUGUUCGCUAUAAAGGCCCUGUCACACUAUUGCGUAUCGUACUAGCGCAUGCCAGCUAGCAUAUGAAAAAUAUCACUCAUACGCUGGAAAACGCUGACAAACCUAGGGGUACGGUCGCGUACCUAGGGGUAUGGUCGUUUAUACGAUAAUCAUACUCUACUCUAGCUUACGGUGUAGAGCUAACUCUACUCUAGGCCGCACGCUGAAUACGCUAGAGGUACGCCAGAUGUACGGUACUCAUACGCUAGCAUUUCAAAUUAUUUCAUUAAUUUUCGUACGCUUCUCAUACGUUUCUCUCAUAUGCAAUAGUGUGCAUGACAUGAAGGGCGUUAAAGUACAUGAAAACAUCCCUUUAAGCGAACUAAAAAAGGCAGAUCGAAUGUAGUGUUGGAUUUUUCACGAAUACGAAAUUAACGUGACAAGCGGUUUAACAAAAUAUGCUUUGAUGAAUUAUCGGCUAGUACGAAUAAUGCCUAAUGCGCAUAAACCAAAAAUGAAAAAAAAUAUGCGCCAACACCGCGGUCGACGCUGAAUCCCCAAGUUGAAAUAUUUUAGCUGCAGGAUUGAUAGGGAUUACAAACAGAACUUCAAACGUACUAGUAAAAUCGACCUUUAAAAAUAAUAUUUUUGCAAGCCUAGGCCAUUAUAGUAUUCGAUUAAUUGCGUGCAACAGCGAGAAAAACCUUAACGAAGACCCGCGCGAAGAUCAAUUUACCAUGCGUCAAACAAAACAUCGCACCUCUUUGUAAAGUUGCGCGCUUUUCGUCAUUCUGUGGAACAUUGUCAGAGGACAUGUGGUGCACAAAAGAACAAAACAAAGCCGAUCACUGGCUGGGCGUUUUCAUAACUCACCAAUCAAUAUGGUUGUAAAAAAUGAACUAGUUUGUUCAAGGGCAAGAACAAGUGUUGCAAAAUGUUCGUGUAUUUCUUCCAAGAACUAUUUGAGAAGGGCGAAAGGCCAAUAAUAACCAAUUUCUUUCUACAUAGGCAAUAUUUUUAUUCCUACCAAUGACCAGAAACUUGGAGAACCUCUCCUAACAUGUCAGCAAAACUCUGUAGUUUGAGAGAUAGGCAAAGAUUUUCAACUGUGUUGUUGUUGACAUUUCAGAUUAUUUCUUUCCAUGUCUGGCGCCAAGCUAUUAUUCUAGCAAAUGUUAUAUAUGAUUUUUGUUAUAUGCAUAUAUAUAGAUUUUAUAAUGAUAGCAUUUUAUUUCAUUCUAUUAUCCGUAGGACUAUAUGGAGAAAUUUGGAUACGCUAACCCUGGUAGAUCUGGGAGUGAAGAUUUUAACACAGCCAUAGCACGUUUCCAAAAGUACUUUCACCUUGAGGUGACUGGACGACUGGACGAGGAAACGAAAACCGAAAUGCUGAAGCCUCGUUGUGGUAAUCCUGACGAUGUCGAUGGCACUGAAAGAAGCGGCCCGCAAGCAUUUAGGACUGGUUCCAAAUGGAGCAAGACAAGUUUAACGUAUCGCUUCCUACAAGAAUCGGAAGAUGUGAGCAGAUCUGUAAUGAAAGCGACUUUUAGAAAGGCGUUUGGAUAUUGGAGUGCAGUGACACCCCUUAAAUUUAGGGAAGUAACAAGCGGAACGAGCGAUUUUACAAUCAAGUAAGUCGAAAUUUAUUUAUAUUAUCGUGUAUAUAUACAUACGAUAAAUUACAUUAUAUAUACCUAUGUACUAAUAGGUAAUUCUAGCUUUAGACUAAAUUUUGAUCUAAGCAAGAAGAACAAACUCCAUCAUCACAGCUAGAAAGAGCAUGUUAAAAUUAGUAAAAUUGCAAAAUUUGGUCUCGAAAUGUUGUAAAAUGCGGAAAAUACAGCCCUGCGGAAUUUGCAAAUUUUGUAUUAAUUUGUAUUACGCGCGGGAAACUGAUGCACUGCACCACAUUUGGGCCGAAAGUGGUGCAUUUUCCCGUGCGUAAUACAAAUUAAUCCAAAAUUUGCAAAUUUCGUAGGGCUAUAUUUUCCGCUUACAACAUUUCGCAACCAAACGUUGCAAUUUUUCUAAUUUUGUGGUGAUAGAUUUUGUUCUUCUUGCCUAGAUCAAAAUUUAGUCUGUAGCUGGCUGGAAUCAUCUAUUAUGGGACGAGUUCAGAUUAUAUACCCCAAAAUCCAUGAAGGGUGGAAAUUAAUUGAAGCGUGUGAGGAGAAUCACAUGCUUUAACUCCUGUUUCGGGGCGGGGAUCAUUUAUAACUUUUUAAAGUCAAUUCAUGUUGCGAGCAUGAUCGGCAAUUUUUUAAAUGAGGAAAUAUUAAUAUUGGAAGUGACUUACAAACUCACAAUCUACCGCCUUCAUAAUUUUCAUAUCGUGUCCAACCUCAAACUUAUGUAUUCUGGCUUUCCAGGUUUGCAAGACGAUCUCAUGGAGACAGUGCACCAUUUGAUGGCCCUGGCAGAGUUUUAGCGCACGCGUACCUCCCGUCAAACGGCCGCGUCCACUUCGACGAAGACGAAGGUUAUAGCGUCAAUGGAGAUAACGUAAAUGGACGACGUGGAAUUGAUCUGCUGGCCGUGGCUGUACACGAGAUUGGACACGCGAUUGGCUUAUACCACUCAAAUGUCAAAGGAUCUAUCAUGUGGCCUAGUUAUAAUGGAUAUAACGCGAACCUCAAACUGCAUAGUGAUGAUAUCAAGGGUGCGCAGUCCUUAUAUGGUAUGUAUAGAUAUUUUGGAAGGUAGUUUCAUUGAGCCUAGUUGGAGUAGGAUAACGGUUAUUUUUGCUAACGAAAUGAUAGGAAUAAGGUUUUAGGAGAAGUGUCGAUACGCGAGAUGUGACAAAAAUAUACAGACGAAAAAUGUGCGAGUUUAUUCCGAGAUAGCAAGAAAAUUUGAGCACUCUUCAUCUAACAUGAACCUGUUUAGUGUUCCUAACAUAUAGUAGGGUGAGGCUGUUAAUAUAUAAACAAAAAAACACGAUGGCUGUUAAAAAACAAUUUAACCGAUGUUCUCUCAGCACAAAAACCAAAGAACCGGUUUCUUCCCAAAGACUAGUCUGCGCGCACGCUACCAAAAGACCGUCUCACCUUAACAUAUAGCAUUAAAAUUACUCAAGCAAUCAGGUCCGCUUUCAAAGGUUAGCUAAUAAUCAUUAUUUCUUAUUUCAGGUCGUAAUACAGGUGGAGGUGGUGGAGGUGGUGGAACAGGAGGUAUUUAUUAUUUUUUCACUCUUUCCUCUUAUAUUGGAAACUUGUCCUGUCUGUCUAUUCUAGACACAGGCAUUCUAGAUAACAGGCAGGGGCGUAGCCAGUCCCAAACAAGUCCUAUCGUCAAAUGCAUAGAACAACUAUGUGGUUCGGUCGUCAGGGGCAUUAAGGUUCCCCGAAACAUAUUUCUAAUCGGAAAGCCACAGAUUUGGUAUAUUUUAUGUCAUAGAUGAAAGCAUUACGAGGUUACGCCGCGCACAAAAGCAGAACUUAAAGACAUGAACUGGAUCUUUACUCUGUCGCUAGCUCUAGGCCCUUAGUUCGGAGCCACAUCAAAAGAGAGGAACAUUUGGUAUUUCAAUCAAGCUAACUUUCUCCGUGAUCUUAACGAUUUAUUUCUCUCGUUUUUCCCAAGGUUCGUCGUGUUCUGAUAAGAAUCAAUAUUGUCCAAGAUGGAAGCGGUACUGUACGUCCUCAGUGUACGGCAAUUACAUGAGAACAUAUUGCAAGAAAACAUGCAACCUUUGUGGUAAGAGUAUAAAAUAUAAAAUAUAAAACUGUUAUUCAUAAUCUGUUAAAAAUAACCCAUACAAACUAUUUUAAAAAGAGACAAAUGAAUUGAGUUCAAUGUGAAAACAUUUAUCCAAGCUUACGUUUUGUUGCUUCAAGAAGCUUCUAGCUAGUAUUUUUCGCAACAGCUCCAGGUCAGAUCUUCAUUUCCAUUCCUGAAGAUUUUUCAACAGAAGUUGUAAUUGGUCGAAAUCCUUUUGAUAUUUUCAGGAUCAUCGUGUGCUGACAAGAAUAGAUUUUGUUCGUAUUGGCGAUUCAGAGGUUAUUGUCGUGGAAGGUAUGCGACGUUCAUGAAGCAAAAUUGUUCAAAAUCUUGUGGAUAUUGCUCAAGCCGAGGUAGGAAAGAAAUACCGUCACAUUUUUACUUCAGUUGUUGUUUUAUCUAAUGUCGAUUACGCAGGAUGUCAUCGACACUGAAUUAUUCUCAAAGAAACAAGAGAAAAGUUCCACCAGGAUUUCUUGUAAAAGUUGACUUUUAGCGGCAUUUGAAAUCACAUCUUCAGGACACCCCGUUCUACCUAUUGAGCUAUCAAACCAACGGGGACUGGGGGCGAAUUUUCUCCAUUUUACUAAGCGCUGCACGAAAUAUUUUCGCGAUUACACGAGUCCCGAGUUCAAAUCCCACUCGAGUCAAAUUUUACAGUCGACUUGUGCAGUGCAAGAAAUCAUGUUGGGUGUGGUAAUAUGAGCACACACCUCCGUUUUACUGCCUUAAACCCACCCAAUAAUUUUAGGGGCAGCAAAACGAAGGUGUUUGCUGAGGCUAAGGGCGUGGUUGCCCAAUUCACCCGAGAGCCUUAUGAUACACGUACUCGACAACAAAGGCCUAAGGGUUAGUUAUCUGAUAUUGGAGGAAAGCGAAGGAUCAUUGAGGGUCAUUAAGUAAGGACACGCUAUCCGUACUGCCCAAAUUAAAAUACACAUAUAGCGAAUAUUCAAGAUUGUAUGAAUAAAUGUCUGACACAUCUCUUAUUCUUGAAUUUUAGGCUAUUAAUCGUACUGGAGAUUGGACCACACCAUGCGCAAACUGAAAACGUUUCAACUAUGUUUAAAAUCUCAAAUUCUGAUAAAUAUAAUUUAAGAAGUAAUAACAAGAUGCUGAUGUUGUCCAAGCCCAAAACAAAUUAAAUGAAAAGGACAUUCGGAUAUGCUGCUGCUAAAGACUGGAACUAUAAUAGUAAUAAUUUUAAAUCUACUUAAUUCAUUUGUAAUAUAUAUAUUUAACGUAUCGCUUCGACCCAAACAUUUCUUAGUAUCUUUUAAUAUUUUUAUAAUAGUUUAUAUAAUAGUAUUUCGAGUUUUAAUUUGUAUUUAGUAACACUUACAUAUCUCGUAGCAGAUCAUUUUUGUAUUAGUUUUUGUAGAUUUAAAUUUGUCAAUAAAGGGAAUA
rnacentral:lncRNA from 1 species